AUUGAACGCUGGCGGCAUGCCUUACACAUGCAAGUCGAACGGCAGCACGGGAGCAAUCCUGGUGGCGAGUGGCGAACGGGUGAGUAAUAUAUCGGAACGUGCCCAGUAGUGGGGGAUAACUGCUCGAAAGAGCAGCUAAUACCGCAGACGACCGGAGGGUGAAAGGGGGGGAUCGCAAGACCUCUCGCGAUUGGAGCGGCCGAUAUCAGAUUAGCUAGUGGGUGGGGUAAAGGCCUACCCAGGCAACGAUAUGUGGUUGGUCUGAGAGGACGACCAGCCACACUGGGACUGAGACACGGCCCAGACUCCUACGGGAGGCAGCAGUGGGGAAUUUUGGACAAUGGGCACAAGCCUGAUCCAGCAAUGCCGCGUGCAGGAAGAAGGCCUUCGGGUUGUAAACUGCUUUUGUCAGGGAAGAAAUCCUCUAGGUUAAUACCCUUGGGGGGAUGACGGUACCUGAAGAAUAAGCACCGGCUAACUCUGUGCCAGCCGCCGCGGUAACAC
rnacentral:rRNA from 1 species